rnacentral:miRNA from 1 species
CCUGGGACUGUUGUGGAGGCCC